CCUACGGGAGGCAGCAGUGAGGAAUAUUGGUCAAUGGGCGCGAGCCUGAACCAGCCAAGUCGCGUGAGGGAAGACGGUCCUAUGGAUUGUAAACCUCUUUUGUCGGGGAGCAAAAGACGCCACGCGUGGCUUUCCGAGAGUACACGAAGAAAAAGCAUCGGCUAACUCCGUGCCAGCAGCCGCGGUAAUACGGAGGAUGCGAGCGUUAUCCGGAUUUAUUGGGUUUAAAGGGUGCGCAGGUGGGAGAUAAAGUCAGCGGUAAAAUUUAGAGGCUCAACCUCUUAGAGCCAUUUAAUCUUGUUUUAUUGAGUGAGUGUGAAGUAUGCGGAAUGCGUGGUGUAGCGGUGAAAUGCAUAGAAAUCAAGCAGAAAUCCGGUUGCGAAAGCAGCAUACCGGCGCUC
rnacentral:rRNA from 1 species